UCCGAGUUGACCCCGGCAGUCUCCCAUGAGUCCCCGGCAUCACCCGCUGGCAACAUGGAACAAGGGUUGCGCUCGUUGCGGGACUUAACCCAACAUCUCACGACACGAGCUGACGACAGCCAUGCACCACCUGCACACCAACCACAAAGGAACGCCUAUCUCUAAACGCGUCUGGCGCAUGUCAAACCCAGGUAAGGUGGGGAUGACGUUAGUCAGUCAA
rnacentral:misc_RNA from 1 species